rnacentral:rRNA from 1 species
CGUUAUAACCGGCGAUUUCCGAAUGGGGAAACCCAGUGUGAUUCGUCACACUAUCAUUAACUGAAUCCAUAGGUUAAUGAGGCGAACCGGGGGAACUGAAACAUCUAAGUACCCCGAGGAAAAGAAAUCAACCGAGAUUCCCCCAGUAGCGGCGAGCGAACGGGGAGGAGCCCAGAGCCUGAAUCAGCAUGUGUGUUAGUGGAAGCGUCUGGAAAGGCGCGCGAUACAGGGUGACAGCCCCGUACACAAAAGCGCAUGUGCUGUGAGCUCGAUGAGUAGGGCGGGACACGUGGUAUCCUGUCUGAAUAUGGGGGGACCAUCCUCCAAGGCUAAAUACUCCUGACUGACCGAUAGUGAACCAGUACCGUGAGGGAAAGGCGAAAAGAACCCCGGCGAGGGGAGUGAAAAAGAACCUGAAACCGUGUACGUAC